GCCUAGAAAGCAAAGAUUAUUAUUUAUUUUUAAUAUAAUAGAAAUGCAUAAUCGUAUUUAAAAAAGUUUAGAGGAAAGUACAAAGUACAAAAUUCAAUGGAAUACCUUGGAAAAUAUUAUCUACAAGUCGUUUAACUGCUGUGUUAUAAAAAUCCUCCUGUCCAACAUAAGAAGGAAAUACAUAAUUCUCACUUUCUACUAAUGGACGGAUACGUAAAGCAACGCGAACGGUAUCGUCGCACAUCUGCAAUAAAACAUUAAAUAUAUAGUUGAUGAUAUUUGGUAAUUUUGCAAACAUGAUAUAAUCAUGGUGUUCUAACCUUAUUCCUAUCAUCAUUAUUUGAUAUUUAAACUUUUACCUCAAUAUAGGCAAUAUCAAAAACUCAUAGAAGAUACUAUAAGUCUUAUAUGAUAAACACUAGUUGUCUCUAUCCAUAAUGGCAUAAUAGUCAUAAUAUAAAUAAAUAAAAACGUGUAUACACACAUAUA